rnacentral:miRNA from 1 species
GGUAGUGGUUGUUGUUGAUGAUGAUGAUGAUGAUAGAGGAAAUACUGUUACUUCCUCUCAACAUCAUCUACCUAUAUUUAUCAUCCUCAUCCUCAUCAUCAUCAUCAUCAUCAACA